AGUCAAUACUGCCUCGGGACCUGGCGCUGCCUGGGAGAUCCAGAAGAAAGGAAGCAUCUUGGCCCCUGCCUUGGGGGCGACACGACCGUCCCCAAACACAGCGAGUCACUGGCCUGGGUCUUUGUGCAGAGGCCCCUCUAGGAGCGGGGAACCAACGAUGGCACGAACAUUGAUUUGAGGAGGAUGCUUCGCAGUUUACGAAAAAAUGAGUGCUAGAGGCGUUCAGAAACGGGAAAGAUCACUUUGUGCUCCUGUGAUCUGAAGGCUGCGUGAAGAAGAUGAGGCUUGGAAAAUAGGUGAUUCUCACAAGAAGGCUUCAAUAAUCUCCAUGUUAGAGAUGAAGAGACUCAAGUAACUGAAAGUUACUUAAGGCCAAUGGGGACCCUGUGCAGCUAUAUAUCCAGUGUCCCAAGCACUGUGUCUGGCAUGUUAGUAAACAUGUUUCAUAGGUUCUGUCAGGUGAGCUGUUGUGCUGUAUGUCUGACCUGAAUUGCCUUUUAGGAGGGAAUCAGUACUUGGAAGCUGGAAUACAUCAGGGAUACCCCUAAAACGAGAGACUAUUUUUUUCCAUUGGAUUCUGACAUAAAUAAAUUUUGCCUACUUUGACAGUC
rnacentral:lncRNA from 10 species